CCUCCUGUAGCUCAGUUGGAUAGAGCGCGUAAAAUAACGUGUCUUGGGAAAGACGUAAACAGCAAUUUUACAUAUGGUCUGUUAAACCCGAGGUCGCAGGUUCGAGCCCUGCCGGGAGGC
rnacentral:tRNA from 1 species